rnacentral:rRNA from 1 species
CACAGGGAGGUAGUGACAGUAAAUAACAAUGCAGGGCUCUUUGAGUCUUGCAGUUGGAAUGAGUACAAUUUAAACCCCUUAACGAGUAACAAUUGGAGGGCAAGUCUGGUGCCGGCAGCCGCGGUAAUUCCAGCUCCAAUAGCGUAUAUUAAAGUUGUUGCAGUUAAAAAGCUCGUAGUUGAACUUUAGGCAAGGCGCCUGGUCACCCACUGGGUGUACUGGGCUCGCCGCGCCUCACCUUCGGGGAACUAGCUGUGCUUCGGUGCACUAGGGAACCGAGCCUUACUUUGAAGAAAUUAGAGUGUUUAAAGCAGCUUACGCUUGAAUACGCCAGCAUGGAAUAACAAGAUAGGACUUUGGUUCUAUUUUGUUGGUUUGAGGACCAAAGUAAUGAUUAAUAGGCAGUCGGGGGCAUUAGUAUUCUAUAGUCAGAGGUGAGAUUCUUGGAUUUAUAGAAGACUAACUAAUGCGAAGCAUUUGCCAAGGAUGUUUUCAUUAAUCAAGAACGAAAGUUAGGGGAUCGAAGACGAUUAGAUACCGUCGUAUCUUAACCAUAAACUAUGCCGACUAGGAUCGGUGGAUGUCGCUUUUGACUCCAUCGGCACCUUACGAGAAAUCAAAGUUUUUGGGUUCUGGGGGAGUAUGGUCGCAAGCUGAAACUUAAAGGAAUUGACGGAAGGGCACCACCAGGAGUGGAGCCUGCGGCUUAAUCUGACUCAACACGGGAAAACUCACCAGGUCCGGACAUGGGAAGGAUUGACAGAUUGAGAGCUCUUUCUUGAUUCUAUGGGUGGUGGUGCAUGGCCGUUCUUAGUUGGUGGAGUGAUUUGUCUGGUUAAUUCCGAUAACGAACGAGACCUUAACCUGCUAAAUAGAGAUGCGAACCUGCGUUCGUAGGCUCUUCUUAGAGGGACUGACUACGUUUAGUGGUCGGAAGUUUGAGGCAAUAACAGGUCUGUGAUGCCUUAGAUGUUCUGGCUGCACGCGCGCUACACUGACAGAGCAGCGAGUAUACAACCUUGACCGGAAGGUCUGGGCAAUCUUUUGAAACUCUGUCGUGCUGGGAUAGAGCAUUGCAAUUAUUGCUCUUCAACGAGGAAUUCCUAGUAAGCGCAUGUCAUCAGCAUGCGUUGAUUACGUCCUGCCCUUUGUACACACCGCCGUCGCUACUACCGAUU